ACCAGAAAACAACCAAGAUCUGGAGUCCAACUUCUGCAGAAACCCUGAUGAGUUAAGUGAUGGACCCUGGUGUUACACCACUGACCCCAACACCCGCUGGGAGUACUGUGACAUACCCAGCUGCACUGAGGACUGUAUGUACUGCAAUGGUGAGGACUACAGAGGAAACAUCUCCACUACUGAAAACGGCUUCACCUGCCAACGCUGGGACUCCCAG